rnacentral:rRNA from 1 species
AAAGCUUGCUUUCAUUCGGUUAGCGGCGGACGGGUGAGUAACACGUGGGCAACCUGCCCGUAAGACCGGGAUAACUUCGGGAAACCGGAGCUAAUACCGGAUAACACCGAAGAUCGCAUGAUCUUUGGUUGAAAGGCGGCUUUGGCUGUCACUUACGGAUGGGCCCGCGGCGCAUUAGCUAGUUGGUGAGGUAACGGCUCACCAAGGCGACGAUGCGUAGCCGACCUGAGAGGGUGAUCGGCCACACUGGGACUGAGACACGGCCCAGACUCCUACGGGAGGCAGCAGUAGGGAAUCUUCCGCAAUGGACGAAAGUCUGACGGAGCAACGCCGCGUGAGCGAAGAAGGUCUUCGGAUUGUAAAGCUCUGUUGUUAGGGAAGAACAAGUACCGUUCGAAGAGGGUGGUACCGUGACGGUACCUAACGAGAAAGCCACGGCUAACUACGUGCCAGCAGCCGCGGUAAUACGUAGGUGGCAAGCGUUGUCCGGAAUUAUUGGGCGUAAAGCGCGCGCA